rnacentral:rRNA from 1 species
AUGGAUUGGUGCCUUCGGGAACUGUGAGACAGGUGCUGCAUGGCUGUCGUCAGCUCGUGUUGUGAAAUGUUGGGUUAAGUCCCGCAACGAGCGCAACCCUUAUACUUUGUUGCCAGCGGUUAGGCCGGGAACUCAAAGGAGACUGCCAGUGAUAAACUGGAGGAAGGUGGGGAUGACGUCAAGUCAUCAUGGCCCUUACGACCAGGG